CGGACGGGUGAGUAACGCGUGGGUAACCUGCCUUGUACAGGGGGAUAACAGUUGGAAACGGCUGCUAAUACCGCAUAAGCGCACGGCAUCGCAUGAUGCAGUGUGAAAAACUCCGGUGGUAUAAGAUGGACCCGCGUUGGAUUAGCUAGUUGGUGAGGUAACGGCCCACCAAGGCAACGAUCCAUAGCCGACCUGAGAGGGUGACCGGCCACAUUGGGACUGAGACACGGCCCAA
rnacentral:rRNA from 1 species